GUCGCUACUACCGAUUGAAUGGCUCAGUGAGGCCUUCGGACUGGCUCAGGGAGGUCGGCAACGACCACCCAGAGCCGGAAAGUUGGUCAAACUCGGUCAUUUAGAGGAAGUAAAAGUCGUAACAAGGUCUCU
rnacentral:rRNA from 1 species